rnacentral:rRNA from 1 species
GACGAACGCUGGCGGCGUGCUUAACACAUGCAAGUCGAACGGAAAGGCCCUGCUUUUGUGGGGUGCUCGAGUGGCGAACGGGUGAGUAACACGUGAGUAACCUGCCCUUGACUUUGGGAUAACUUCAGGAAACUGGGGCUAAUACCGGAUAGGAGCUCCUGCUGCAUGGUGGGGGUUGGAAAUUUUCGGCGGUUGGGGAUGGACUCGCGGCUUAUCAGCUUGUUGGUGGGGUAGUGGCUUACCAAGGCUUUGACGGGUAGCCGGCCUGAGAGGGUGACCGGCCACAUUGGGACUGCGAUACGGCCCAGACUCCUACGGGAGGCAGCAGUGGGGAAUAUUGCACAAUGGGCGGAAGCCUGAUGCAGCAACGCCGCGUGCGGGAUGACGGCCUUCGGGUUGUAAACCGCUUUCGCCUGUGACGAAGCGUGAGUGACGGUAAUGGGUAAAGAAGCACCGGCUAACUACGUG